UACGGAGGGUGCGAGCGUUGUCCGGAAUCAUUGGGCGUAAAGGGCGCGUAGGUGGCCCGGUCAGUUCGUGGUGAAAGCGCGGGGCUCAACCCUGCGUCGGCCAUGAAUACUGCCGCGGCUGGAGCACUGUAGAGGCAGGCGGAAUUCCGGGUGUAGCGGUGGAAUGCGUAGAUAUCAGGAGGAACACCGGUGGUGUAGACGGCUCACUGGACCGUAACUGACGCUGAGACACGAAAGCGUGGGUAGCAAACAGG
rnacentral:rRNA from 1 species